rnacentral:lncRNA from 1 species
AGACUACUUCAAGAGUUGAAAAGGUUUGUUUGUUGUCUGUGCUAUUAUUUUAUUUUAUUUUAUUUUAUUACUUUCCUUUCAGAAGGUGAGCUAUGGCAUAAUAGUAAGGUUGCUUCUUAGUGACCAAUAGCUCACACGUUCAAAUCCUAGAAAUAGCUUAUCCGCUUGCACACAUCUACCAUCCCUAGGCCCACUAGGUGUGAGUUUCAUGCAAUGAGCCAUCAUUUUUAAUGUUUUGUGUGGUUAUAGUGGUCACUAUGGUCUAUACUGAGGAAAAUUCUAGUUUAUGCUCAUUUCUCAUAAGUUUGUACUUUGUACCCUAAGCAAUGAAAUAUAAACUAUAUCAUGCUUACUGAAUCCGAUACUUAAAGACAUACAUAUAACCAUUGAAAUUUGCACGUGCAACAAGAACUGUGGAGUGAAGACCCCUGAAAUUAGCUUUUUAGUAUUGUGAGAGGAACUGGAAGUAUUCUACUGAGGAAGUCUAGUUUUUAUGAAAGGAAUGAUUCAUUCUGAGAUAUUCUUGUUGAAGCUCCAAGGUUACAUUGGUUUAUAGAUUUUAUGUCUUGUAUCAUUUUCUCACUAUGGGAUAAUGUCUCAUAUGGUUAAUUGUUACUUCUCUGUUCUGGGUAGGAAUUGACAAGCUUAAGAAUUUAAGAUAACCAAAAGGUAAACUAGUGGCUUGUGCAUAAAUUAUCUAUGGUGUAGUUUACAGAGAUUUUUUCCUUCUUGGCCUAGUGAACCGCCAACUAGCAAGCUCUUCAGAGUAGCACUGAUGAGCAUCGCACAUCUAAUGGAAGACAUAUGUAUCCAUGUGCAAAGAAAGUCUGUUUAGGAAUAUAUAUAGUCCUUUUUAAAGUAGUGUGUAAAAUUGCGUAAUUCACAAAGGUUUCAGCAGCAUAAAUGCACAUUUUGAUGUAGCUUACGUUAUAUGCAAUUUAUCAUUUUUCCUACACAUUAAUUAGAGACUUGGAUCCUUGUAUUAGUCGAUGUUAUUUAUAUUUUCCAUUCAGAUGAGUGGCAUUGUGACUGAACAGUGGAUUCAAGUUCAGCAUCUUGAGCAGGCUCUUCACAUUACCAAGGUAUAAAAAUUUAUUUAUUUUUCAUUUUAUAAAUAUUUGGAAACAUUAGCAUGUUCUGUUCAUGUGCAUACUGAGCUUCUCAUUUAAUUUCUUUUUGUAAAUGUGUGUGUUUGUAUAUGUGAAAAGAUGAGGACUCUAAAGGCUCAAAGAGCAGGCUAUGCAAGAUGCACAUUCUUGAAGUUUAUCAACAGCAUUCUUGAUGAUCUUCGGGCAGUGGAAUCAUACAUAUUUGGUGAAAGGACUACAUUCGGUUCAAUCAUUUCGUGGUCUAUGGAUCAGUUAAAGAGAUGCUCUUCAAUGACCAAAAAGUAUCACCAUCAGCUUCAAGGUUUUGUCAAAGAUUUGAUGAAGAAAAAUGAACUGACAGCAUCUCUUGCAAAUGAUGAAUUAGUUUUCUUCCUGGCUUCUGCUCUAAUCACCUUUCCGCUAUUGAGUGCUUGGAUAUUGCUCUCAUCAUAAUUGCUGGGUUGGCAAAAGGAUUUUCUUUCCAUGGGAAAACUUCACUAUAGUGACAAGUAUUUUCCAACAUUUGUGCUUGAAGAACAUGUGAUAAGUUUCUCAAUCUCACUGUUGGUGGACUGAUGUGAACUCAAAAAUGACCAAACUUGACCAAAAUGGCUUAGAGAGAUUGGGUGGCCUGAUGACAAGAGCUAAGGCCAAAAGGGCACAAAAUGCCCUAGGACAACUCAGGUUGACCCUUCAAAGUGAAGCGCCAAGAGAAAGCCUAGUGAAAAUUAAAAUUGUCCAAUGCAUCAUGCAAGCUGGCAUAGGCGUGGGUCUGGCUGGUUGGGCACUAGAUGCACCAGGCUAGACACUGACCGAACCAGAAGAAAUUCUGACCGUGCCAGCAGGCACCAUGCCAGAUUUCUAAUCGAGCAGCCUGGGCGCUAGGCGCACCAAAUUUGGCCGAAGGGCUGUUUUAUCCAAAUUUAAUGUUUUACUUUUCCAAUAAGUGUGGGAGUCCCAUACCCAUUUCACAUAUUUAUUUUAAUCUGAUUCAGCA